ensembl:lncRNA
AUGGCCUGUUGGUGUUUGAUUGAACUUGUAUUGCUCACCACAUCUCACCACAACAUGCUGAGACUGUUUGUGUUGCUUACAGCAGUGGUCUGCUGUAAUGCAUCCUGCAGAAAAGAAAUAAUGCCCACUCAAGAUACCACAGACAGCCCACAAGGUUGUCCUGGUUCUGAUGGAGAUCUCCAUGAACUUAACUCUGAAUGGGUGAACGGAUAUGAAAAAUGUGUCUGUGGGAAUUCUGGAAUCAUCUGUUGUUUAAGCCUUGAAGGUUAUGGCCCCUAUGGACAGUAAGUGAUUCUAAAAUUAACAUUGCACAUGUUUAUUAAGUUAAUUAAAAUAGAAGUAUAGUGGAAAAAAAGAGAGCAAUACUUAUGGAUUACAUGUGAGUUUACUGUGAUGUUUUUAUCAGCUGACAGCAUUCAUUAUUAUUAUUAUUAUUAUUAUUAUUAUUAUUAUUAUUAUUAUGCCUUUGUGUUUGUGUGUAUUGUAGCAGAUUUGGAGGUUAUGGGCCCUUUCAACAGUAAGUCAUUCUAAAAUUAACACUGUAAAAGUUUACAGUUAAUUAAGAGAGAAGUAUAGUGAGAAAUAGAGUAAUGCUUAUGGAUUACUUGUGGAUUAUUUUGACGUGUUUAUCAGAUGUCUGGACUCUCAUUCUGACAGCAUUUAUUAUUAUUAUUUUUAUUAUUAUUAUUAUAUGAUGCCUUUGUGUUUGUGUGUUUUGUAACAGAUAUGGAGGUUAUGGGCCCUAUGGACAGUAAGUCAUUCUAAAAUUAACAUUGCAAAUGUUUACAGUUAAUUAAGGGAGAAGUAUAGUGAGAAAUAGAGUUCCCUUUCAGUCACGUUCAACGUUACGUCAGUGACUGAUGAAUUGGGAUCUCGCCUGAGAGCCCAAUCACCUUCGAGUGUUAACAAAACAAGCCAAUGAAUAUUGCCGUGUGAGCUUUGCAUCGUGCACCCCGCCCCGCCUUUUUGCUUCGGAGCCAAGCGUUUCUCACGAUUCUGCUCUGCAAUCGUUGUUCAAGUGUAAGCAACGAACCAGGUGAAAGCUCUCCAGAGAGCGUUGGUGUGACGGCACGUCAGCGAUGGUCGCUACUGAAAGAGCUUUUUUUCUGCAUUGUGCAUGAUGCAGGCUUGUCCAAUAACCCUGCACGCCGUACAGCAACCGUUCCCCUGGAUGCUUCAGCGCUAAAAGAGCUUUUUCCUUAAGAGUUAGUGGGCAGCGAGCGUCU